rnacentral:rRNA from 1 species
CUGCCCAAUGAGGAAUUAAAUGGCCGCGGUAUUUUGACCGUGCAAAGGUAGCAUAAUCAUUAGUUUUUUAAUUGAAAGCUGGUAUGAAAGGUUGGAUGAGAAAAUAACUGUCUCUAUCUAAAUUAUUUAGAAUUUUAUUUUUAAGUAAGAAAGCUUAAAUUUUAAUAGAAGACGAGAAGACCCUAUAGAGUUUUAUAAAUUUUAACUUAGUGAGAUUUUGGAAUUAAAAAAUUUUUAAGUUAAAAUUUAUUUAGUUGGGGUGAG